CGGUUGAUCCUGCCCGGAGGUUACUGCUAUCGGUGUUCGANUAAGCCAUGCGAGUCAUAUGUUNUUCGUGAACAUGGCGGACUGCUCAGUAACACGUGGAUAACCUGCCNUUAGGUUUGGCAUAACUCCGGGAAACUGGAGAUAAUUCCGAAUAGGUCAAAUAUGCUGGAAUGCUUUUUGGCCAAAAGACUUCGGUUGCCUAAGGAUGGAUCUGCGGUCUAUCAGGUUGUAGUGGGUGUAACGUACCUACUAGCCUACGACGGAUAUGGGUUGUGAGAGCAAGAGCCCAGAGAUGGAUUCUGAGACAUGAAUCCAGGCCCUACGGGGCGCAGCAGGCGCGAAAACUUUACAAUGCGGGAAACCGCGAUAAGGGGACACCGAGUGCCAGCAUUUAUGUUGGCUGUCCACAUGUGUAAACGGCAUGUGUUAGCAAGGGCCGGGCAAGACCGGUGCCAGCCGCCGCGGUAACACCGGCGGCCCGAGUGGUAAUCACUUUUAUUGGGUCUAAAGGGUCCGUAGCCGGUUUAAUCAGUUCUUCGGGAAAUCUGACAGCUCAACUGUUAGGCUUCCGGGGAAUACUGUCAGACUUGGGACCGGGAGAGGUAAGAGGUACUACAGGGGUAGGAGUGAAAUCUUGUAAUCCCUGUGGGACCACCAGUGGCGAAGGCGUCUUACCAGAACGGGUCCGACAGUGAGGGACGAAAGCUGGGGGCACGAACCGGAUUAGAUACCCGGGUAGUCCCAGCCGUAAACGAUGUUCGCUAGGUGUCAGGGGCGGUGCGACCGCUUCUGGUGCCGUAGGGAAGCCGUGAAGCGAACCACCUGGGAAGUACGGCCGCAAGGCUGAAACUUAAAGGAAUUGGCGGGGGAGCACAAGGGCGAAUUCUGCAGAUAUCCAUCAC
rnacentral:rRNA from 1 species